rnacentral:rRNA from 1 species
GGAUAACCAUUGGAAACGAUGGNUAAUACCGCAUAAUGCCUUCGGGCCAAAGAGGGGGAUCUUCGGACCUCUCGCGUCAAGAUUAGCCCAGGUGGGAUUAGCUAGUUGGUGAGGUAAUGGCUCACCAAGGCGACGAUCCCUAGCUGGUCUGAGAGGAUGAUCAGCCACACUGGAACUGAGACACGGUCCAGACUCCUACGGGAGGCAGCAGUGGGGAAUAUUGCACAAUGGGCGCAAGCCUGAUGCAGCCAUGCCGCGUGUGUGAAGAAGGCCUUCGGGUUGUAAAGCACUUUCAGUCGUGAGGAAGGUGGUGUAGUUAAUAGCUGCAUCAUUUGACGUUAGCGACAGAAGAAGCACCGGCUAACUCCGUGCCAGCAGCCGCGGUAAUACGGAGGGUGCGAGCGUUAAUCGGAAUUACUGGGCGUAAAGCGCAUGCAGGUGGUUAGUUAAGUCANAUGUGAAAGCCCGGGGCUCAACCUCGGAACUGCAUUUGAAACUGGCUGACUAGAGUACUGUAGAGGGGGGUAGAANNUCAGGUGUANCGGUGAAAUGCGUAGAGAUCUGAAGGAAUACCGGUGGCGAAG